rnacentral:rRNA from 1 species
GAGGAAUAUUGCACAAUGGGGGGAACCCUGAUGCAGCAACGCCGCGUGGAGGAUGACGCAUUUCGGUGUGUAAACUCCUUUUAUAUGUCAAGAAAAUGACGGUAGCAUAUGAAUAAGCACCGGCUAACUCCGUGCCAGCAGCCGCGGUAAUACGGAGGGUGCAAGCGUUACUCGGAAUCACUGGGCGUAAAGGACGCGUAGGCUGUUUAGCAAGUCAGAUGUGAAAUCCAAUGGCUCAACCAUUGAACUGCAUUUGAAACUGCUAGACUAGAGUAUGGGAGGGGGAGAUGGAAUUAGUGGUGUAGGGGUAAAAUCCGUAGAUAUCACUAGGAAUACCUAAAGCGAAGGCGAUCUCCUGGAACAUUACUGACGCUAAGGCGUGAAAGCGUGGGGAGCAAAC